rnacentral:rRNA from 1 species
CGCGUGGGAAUCUACCCAGUAUGGGGGACAACAGUUGGAAACGACUGCUAAUACCGCAUACGCCCUAAGGGGGAAAGCAGGGGACUCUUCGGAGCCUUGUGCUAUUGGAUGAGCCCGCGUGAGAUUAGAUAGUUGGUGAGGUAAUGGCUCACCAAGUCUACGAUCUCUAGCUGGUCUGAGAGGAUGAUCAGCCACACUGGAACUGAGACACGGUCCAG